rnacentral:lncRNA from 1 species
UGCGCUAGUCUAUCUGGAUCAAUCAUCAUCCCCAUGAUGGUCCUAUGAUCAGAAGUAAUUUAAGAAUUAACCAUCAAUGACAGAUAUCUCAAAUUUUUAACUCUUUGAGAAUAUGUGUCAUCAUCUUAUUAAUCUCUUGGAUAAUUUAUGGAUACAUAAAAUAUGAAUGAUAAUAUAAAUACUUAUUAAGUACAAAAUCAUG